AGAGUUUGAUCAUGGCUCAGAUUGAACGCUGGCGGCAGGCCUAACACAUGCAAGUCGAACGGUAACAGGAAACAGCUUGCUGUUUCGCUGACGAGUGGCGGACGGGUGAGUAAUGUCUGGGAAACUGCCUGAUGGGGGGGGAUAACUACUGGAAACGGUAGCUAAUACCGCAUAACGUCGCAAGACCAAAGAGGGGGACCUUCGGGCCUCUUGCCAUCGGAUGUGCCCAGAUGGGAUUAGCUUGUUGGUGGGGUAACGGCUCACCAAGGCGACGAUCCCUAGCUGGUCUGAGAGGAUGACCAGCCACACUGGAACUGAGACACGGUCCAGACUCCUACGGGAGGCAGCAGUGGGGAAUAUUGCACAAUGGGCGCAAGCCUGAUGCAGCCAUGCCGCGUGUAUGAAGAAGGCCUUCGGGUUGUAAAGUACUUUCAGCGGGGAGGAAGGGAGUAAAGUUAAUACCUUUGCUCAUUGACGUUACCCGCAGAAGAAGCACCGGCUAACUCCGUGCCAGCAGCCGCGGUAAUACGGAGGGUGCAAGCGUUAAUCGGAAUUACUGGGCGUAAAGCGCACGCAGGCGGUUUGUUAAGUCAGAUGUGAAAUCCCCGGGCUCAACCUGGGAACUGCAUCUGAUACUGGCAAGCUUGAGUCUCGUAGAGGGGGGUAGAAUUCCAGGUGUAGCGGUGAAAUGCGUAGAGAUCUGGAGGAAUACCGGUGGCGAAGGCGGCCCCCUGGACGAAGACUGACGCUCAGGUGCGAAAGCGUGGGGAGCAAACAGGAUUAGAUACCCUGGUAGUCCACGCCGUAAACGAUGUCGACUUGGAGGUUGUGCCCUUGAGGCGUGGCUUCCGGAGCUAACGCGUUAAGUCGACCGCCUGGGGAGUACGGCCGCAAGGUUAAAACUCAAAUGAAUUGACGGGGGCCCGCACAAGCGGUGGAGCAUGUGGUUUAAUUCGAUGCAACGCGAAGAACCUUACCUGGUCUUGACAUCCACGGAAGUUUUCAGAGAUGAGUUUGUGCCUUCGGGAACCGUGAGACAGGUGCUGCAUGGCUGUCGUCAGCUCGUGUUGUGAAAUGUUGGGUUAAGUCCCGCAACGAGCGCAACCCUUAUCCUUUGUUGCCAGCGGUCCGGCCGGGAACUCAAAGGAGACUGCCAGUGAUAAACUGGAGGAAGGUGGGGAUGACGUCAAGUCAUCAUGGCCCUUACGACCAGGGCUACACACGUGCUACAAUGGCGCAUACAAAGAGAAGCGACCUCGCGAGAGCAAGCGGACCUCAUAAAGUGCGUCGUAGUCCGGAUUGGAGUCUGCAACUCGACUCCAUGAAGUCGGAAUCGCUAGUAAUCGUGGAUCAGAAUGCCACGGUGAAUACGUUCCCGGGCCUUGUACACACCGCCCGUCACACCAUGGGAGUGGGUUGCAAAAGAAGUAGGUAGCUUAACCUUCGGGAGGGCGCUUACCACUUUGUGAUUCAUGACUGGGGUGAAGUCGUAACAAGGUAACCGUAGGGGAACCUGCGGUUGGAUCACCU
rnacentral:rRNA from 1 species